ensembl:lincRNA
CUCAGAUUAGCGGGUACAGAACACCUAAAAAGCAGUCACAUCUGCUGUGAUCCUGUGGUGUGACAGGGCUCAGCUGGGUGGUUCUUGUGCUCUUCAUGGUGUCACUGGGGCUGAAGUGACCCAGGCCUCUAGGGGGCUGGGAGUCCAAGGCAGCUCCCUACCACCACAGUCAAUUGGUGCUGGCUGUCAGUGGGGUACUCAGUUGCACCAGGGCAGCUGAGUGGUCAGCCAGGUGCCCUGUGGUCCUCUACAUGGUUGGGCCUCCCCCAGCAUCUGGCUGGGUUUUAAGAGGCAGGAAGUAGGAACUGUUCAUCAUCUUGGAUGUGUCUAGAGGUUUUAGAACGUCACCUCUGCAGAUUCUGUUUGCCAUGUCCCAGGACUGGCUGGGCUGGAGGGGAGGGACAUGAGCUCCGAGUAUCGAUGGUGGCCCACCAUGGGCACGUGACAUGGGGAGGGGAAGAGUGAGUGGUUGCCAUCUGCAUGUGUUCCUCACUGAGCUUCCUGUCCCCGUGAUAGCUAGAGAGGGACUUUCUGGUUUUACCUGAUCACUGGCUCCCCAUAAGGCAACCCAUGACCACAGCUCUCCACACCUUCGAUGACAAUGGUAUCUCUUGGCUGGGCAUGGUUGAGGCAUGAAGACCAGGGCCUUUCAGUGGGCAACAUUCUACAUGGAAGCCUCCAGAAUCCCGCUUUGUAGGAAGAACCCCAUCUUCAUGGUCAGACUCAAGUUUAGGUCUCAGGUCGCAUUAGUGAUAAGAUCUUAGGCACUUCUCAAACUCUCCGGGGUCCCAGUUUCCUCACCUUCCCCCUGAGAUCAGGCCAGGUGGGAAGGGGGGGGCCAACCCCUGCUGCUCCUCUUCCCCUAGAACAUGUUCUUCCCCGAAGCCUCCUGGGACACUGAGCUCUUCACGAAGGCUCCAAGUCUCCGGGGACCAGGAAGUAACUACCUCGUAUCAGAAGAUGAAGUGUCUCCACUCUCUUCUCAGAGCAGAUGGGCAGUGGUGCUUCGCGGACAUUCCUGCUCGUCACCUGCGAAGUUUCGAUCUUUUCGGCAGAUGAACGCAGACCAGGAGAGCAGAGGGUGCUUACGCAGUGCACAGCUUCAGGGCUUCUGUGGCCAGGGUCCCAGGAACCCCCUGCUUUGUUGGUCCAGGUACUCAGCUGGUCCUCAGGCUUCUGUGUUAGAGGUAGGAGGCCUUCCCAGGGAGGAGGCCUUGCUUGCAGGGAGGAUGGAGGCAUGGCAGGUGAGGAUGGAGACAGGUGAGAGGAGCUUAAUUUGCUCCUUCUAGGACUGGUUUUCUCUUUUGUCGCCAGGGAAACCCAUUGCCAACCUCCUGCCUUGGGGGGGGAGGACAUCUACUGCGGGAGGCAGGAAACCCAGAGCCGACCCCUCCAGGGUUUCUCUGCCUCUGCUUCCAGUGGGUGUGGCCGAUGGCAGGACAGGCAGGAGGCCUGGGUGCUUGUCCCUGGCUCCCUUCCUGUUCCUCGGGCCCUGAGCCCUGGCCAGGCCCUCUCAGCAGUGUCCCCUAGUAACCCUGACAACAUCUUGCUCUUCUGGACACCCUGUCUCUGCUGUGACCCAUCCGACAUGGCUCCUCUGUUGUCCCCGGUCCUUCAUGUCAUUCCUGCUUCCUCGUGGGAGUGGGGACUAACUGCCCAAUGGACGCAAGGCAGCGUCUCCCACAAGGCAGCGUCUCCCACAGCCUUCACUGGCCGGCUCUCUCUGCCUUCUCUGCACUGGGCAGCAGGUCCUCCAUGGCCCUCAGUUUCCUCUGCAAGGGAGGCGACUUCCUCGUGACUUGCAGCCCCACAGGCUGGAGCCCAGGCUGGACGUGGAGUUGGUGCUGGGGGCUGGUGGGGGUCCCCUGUGACCUGAGUGGCACUGGCCUGAGAUGGCACUUUGUGAUCUGGCCCCAGGCUGGGCUUCAGGGGCUUCGUUCUUUGCCAGCACCCCAGGAAUGUGUCCCUGGGGAGGUCUGAAUGCCCCAAGUGUGGUCCUUGGGGCCCCGGCUGCUGCCUCUUCCUCGGAGAAUGAGCGAGCUUCUACCACCCUCUUCAAAUGCUCUUCCAGCUCUGUAGCCCAGUACAGUAGCCACAUGCGCAUGUUUAAGUUUGAAUGAGUGAAAAUAAUGCA